GCUCAGUGAACUACAUCUCUGGACCCGCAGAAUAUACGUCACCAACACUAGCUAGCUAGCUAACUUUGCUGUGUUCCACGCACAAAUGAAACAUUAGCUUACUUGAUGUGUUUUAUCCAGCGACUACUGGUCUUUUAAUCAGCCGGGAAGUGAAAGAACGAUCAGACCCGUUCCUGGUGUGAGUUCAUCCCCGUACGAAACACACAGGCAUCGUAGCUUCAGCGAAAGAGAUGUCACUUACAUGACUUUUGGGUGUGUAUUCUGCCUCAUUACAUACUGUAU